rnacentral:rRNA from 1 species
GACGAACGCUGGCGGCGUGCUUAACACAUGCAAGUCGAAUGGAAAGGCCCUGCUUUUGUGGGGUGCUCGAGUGGCGAACGGGUGAGUAACACGUGAGUAACCUGCCCUUGACUUUGGGAUAACUUCAGGAAACUGGGGCUAAUACCGGAUAGGAGCUCUUGCUGCAUGGUGGGGGUUGGAAAGUUUCGGCGGUUGGGGAUGGACUCGCGGCUUAUCAGCUUGUUGGUGGGGUAGUGGCUUACCAAGGCUUUGACGGGUAGCCGGCCUGAGAGGGUGACCGGCCACAUUGGGACUGAGAUACGGCCCAGACUCCUACGGGAGGCAGCAGUGGGGAAUAUUGCACAAUGGGCGGAAGCCUGAUGCAGCAACGCCGCGUGCGGGAUGACGGCCUUCGGGUUGUAAACCGCUUUCGCCUGUGACGAAGCGUGAGUGACGGUAAUGGGUAAAGAAGCACCGGCUAACUACGUG